CCUACGGGAGGCAGCAGUGGGGAAUAUUGGGCAAUGGGCGAAAGCCUGACCCAGCAACGCCGCGUGAAGGAAGAAGGCUUUCGGGUUGUAAACUUCUUUUGACAGGGAAGAGCAGAAGACGGUACCUGUCGAAUAAGCCACGGCUAACUACGUGCCAGCAGCCGCGGUAAUACGUAGGUGGCAAGCGUUGUCCGGAUUUACUGGGGGUAAAGGGCGUGUAGCCGGGCUGACAAGUCAGAUGUGAAAUCCGGGGGCUCAACCCCCGAACUGCAUUUGAAACUGUUGGUCUUGAGUAUCGGAGAGGCAGGGGGAAUUCCUAGUGUAGCGGUGAAAUGCGUAGAUAUUAGGAGGAACACCAGUGGCGAAGGCGGCCUGCUGGACGACAAUUGACGGUGAGGCGCGAAAGCGUGGGGAGCAAACAGGAUUAGAUACCCUUGUAGUC
rnacentral:rRNA from 1 species